AACGAACGCUGGCGGCAUGCCUAACACAUGCAAGUCGAACGAGACCUCAGGAUCUAGUUGCUCACGGGUGCGUAACGCGUGGGAACCUUCCCUUAGGCUCCGGAAAAUACUCUUAAGUGGGUGCUAAUAUCGGGUAACUUCUUCUGACCAAAGAUUCGUCGUCUUUGGUAGGGCCCGCGUUCUUUUAGCUAGUGGGUAGUGGAAAAGCCUACCACGGCGACGAUCCAUAGCUGGUCUGAGAGGAUGAUCAGCCACACUGGGACUCGGACCCGGCCCAGACUACUACGGGAGGCAGGAGAGGGGAAUAUAGGAAGAUGGGCGAAGGCAUGAACCAGCAAUGCCGGGUGAGUGAUGAAGGCCUUAGGGAUGUAAAGCUCUUUUACCCGGGAUGAUAAUGACAGUACCGGGAGAAUAAGCACCGGCUAACUCCGUG
rnacentral:rRNA from 1 species